rnacentral:lncRNA from 1 species
GCUGCAGCCCUGUCUUCAAGUCUAGACCUAUCCCCGAGCUCGUAGACUCUCUUUUUGUGGUGGUUCUUCGUUUAAUCGCACGUACUAUCGCGUAGCGGAUCAGUUCCUUGACUGGCAAGACUCUUGGCAGGAGGACUUGGAGGUUCUUGGUUAGGGCACGAGAAGCUGCUUUUUUAAGGUACUUCGUUAGGAGGAACCCUGGGUGGCCAUCUUUGUCCUCCAUCUGCAUGCAGCACGAGUAAGCCUCGUCUUCAGCCCCUACGUGGGCACGUGCCACAGUCACUAGCUUCAUCAGAGCCCUGUUCUUGAACCUAGCCGCGUUGGUUAACAGCACAGAGCUUCCUCCAGCACGGAAUAAACAGUUUGACAACAUCAUCGACCUAUCUUUACCGCAAUACCAGUGAGGACCCAUCGUCUCGGUGCUCACCACGAGCGCAAACGCGUUUUCCUGCUUUGGGUUGUUCGCUUUGAUUGCCAUAACGUACGCGUGGCUCGCGUUUCCGCCGCAUAUCGGACGCACGGAUCAUGUGUCCUCUUCUUCCCUAGGUUGCAGAGAGGAUAACGAGGGUUCCUGGUCCAUUGGCGUUUUCUAUGGCGAUUCUCCCUUCACUCUCAAACCCAUCGAAACCGUGAGUCUCCUAAUCUACUCAGUUUCGUGCAAUUUUAUUAGAAUGCAAAUCGUUUGAUAGCUAGGGUUCAUGAGUUUUGAAUCAACAAUAUUAACCACGUUUUAUCUGGUGAGUUUGGAAACAGAUUAAUGUAUGGAGGAACGAGAGUGCAGCAUGGCCUGUAGCUAAUCCAGUUUUAACAUGUGUCUCCUUGACCAAUUAUGGCUUUCCAAGCAACUUUGUAGCUGGUCCAUUUCUCUAUGUACAGGUAUACACAUUAUAGUCAUCUUCAUCGACACAAAACAGGUCCUCAAAAUUUUGGAGGCUAUAGACAAUUUAAUAAGAAUUUCUAUUAACACCUUUUGCGUACAAUUUUAUGGGUUAUAUAUAUGUAAUUUUUUCUUAAAAUUUUGGAGGUUGUAGGCCAAUACUCCACUAGUCUAUGCUUAGGACCGACCAUGCAUCAUCGACAUUGCAGUAUCUUUGACUUAUCAUGAACACAUUCUCUAGCGAAAGUGUUAUAAGUCUCUUUUGCUCAUGUCUCAUUUCUCAUUCUUAUCUUACCAAAACAGGGUGAUACUCUUUACAUGUUCUUUGAAAAUAAAAACCCCAUUACAAUGCAAGGGGACAUAGGAGUUGCACAAAGUACCGACAAAGGAGCAACUUGGAAACCUCUCGGUAUAGCUCUGGAUGAGCCUUGGCACUUAUCUUUUCCUUUCGUCUUCAAUUACAACGAACAAGUGAGAGAUCGGUUUCUUACUAGCAAAGUUCCAUGAUACACACUCAUGAUAUUAACAUACUUUUUUUUUGUUUCUUUCUAAAAGAUAUACAUGAUGCCGGAGAGCAACCAGAUAGGAGAGCUUCGUCUCUACCGUGCUGUUAACUUCCCUUUAACUUGGAAGCUAGAGAAAGUCAUCUUACAAAAGCCGCUUGUUGAUUCCACCAUACUCCACCACCAAGGAAACUAUUGGCUAUUUGGAUCAGAUCAUAGUAGUUUCGGACAUCUAGAAAUUUGGUACAGCGCCACUCCUCUUGGCCCAUGGAAGCCACACAAGAAGAAUCCUAUCCACAACGGGGCACGAAACGGAGGGAGAGCGUUUUUACAUAAAGGUAAUCUCUACCGUGUUGGUCAAGCUUCCAGUGAGAGUUAUGAGAAAAAAAUACGCAUUUAUAAAAUAGAGGUUCUUUCUAAGGAAGAGUAUAGAGAAGUCCAAGUCCCCUUUGAUUUAGAAACGUCACAUAAAGGUCAAAACUCUUGGAACGGAGUUAGGCAGCAUCGCUUCGAUGUGUUACAGCUAAGCUCUGGCGAAUACAUUGGUCUUGUUGAUGGUGACCGUGUAACAUCAGGUGAUCUGGUUUUUAGGGUUUUUCUAGGGUCUGCUUCUCUCGCAGGUGCUAUUACACUUGUUGUGUUGCUAGGGUUUUUUCUUGGGAUCUUGAACUGCAUUGUUCCAUCAACCUGGUGUGUGAAAUACUACAAAGGAAAAAGAACCGAUGCGGUCUUGAACUUGGAGACAACAAGUUUUGUGUCUGAACAGUUAAGAAGGAUGUGUUCUAGGUUAAACCGAGUACCGCCUUUUCUCAGAGGACUUGUGAAACCUAACUCCACGUUUGGAAGAUUGACACUAGGUUUGUUAUUAGUUCUAGGAGCUUUGCUCACAUGUGUAGGGAUUAGUUAUAUAAACGGUGGAAGCGGAGCGGUGUUGCCUUACACAUUAAAAGGUCAUGUAUCUCAGUUCACGUUAGCAACUAUGACGUACGACGCACGUCUCUGGAACCUAAAAAUGUACCUGAAGCAUUACUCUCGAUGUCCAUCAGUAAAAGAGAUCCUCGUCAUAUGGAACAAAGGACCACCUCCUGAACUCACCGAGCUAGACUCGGCCGUGCCAGUUAGAAUCCGAGUCGAGAAGCUGAACUCUCUAAACAACAGGUUCAAUAUCGACCCGUUGAUUAAAACAAGAGCUGUUCUUGAGCUUGACGAUGAUAUAAUGAUGCCUUGUGAUACCAUCGAGAAAGGGUUUAGAGUGUGGAGAGAGUAUCCGGAGAGACUUGUUGGAUACUACCCGCGUUUUGUUGAUGAGACAAUGAGUUAUAGUGCUGAGAAGUUUGCGAGAAGUCAUAAUGGAUACAAUAUGAUUCUCACUGGAGCAGCGUUUAUGGACGUUGGUUUCGCGUUUGGUUUGUAUCAGUCGGAGAAGGCGAGGCUUGGUCGAGAGUUUGUGGACGAGCAGUUUAAUUGUGAAGACGUUUUGUUGAAUUUUUUGUAUGCUAAUGUGAGUGGUUUGGUUAAGGCUGUGGAGUAUGUGAGACCGUCUUUGGCUAUUGACACUUCGAAAUUUUCUGGUGUAGCGAUCAGUGGAAACACGAAUGACCAUUACAGGAAGAGAAGCAAGUGUCUUAGGAGAUUCUCUGAUUUGUAUGGGAGUUUGUCUGAUAGGAGAUGGGAGUUUGGUGGGAGAAAAGAUGGGUGGGAUUUGUAGAAAAAUGAGUUGUUACUUGUAUGGCAAGUAAAUCCUUACCUCAACUAGAACACGAAGCAGUCUUCUUACAAGAAUGAAGUUAACUUCGCCGUUGCUAGAAGCAUCGGCUUUAACGUCUCCUUUUGCAGCACUAAACGUCCAUGUUUUGGCAAAAAACACUACCUUUUCAACUUAGCUCUCUUGGUUCAAGUCUUGUCUACUUUUUUUUUCGGUUUUUCUAAAAACAAAAUGUAAAUAUAUUCUUAUGAAUGUGUUUUGUUUUAUAUUUUUAAAAUAUUCAUUUUGCAUUUAUUAAAUUUAGAUUUAAACAAAAUGCAAAUAUAUUCUUAGGAGAUUUAACGAUUGAAUUAUUAACGUAUCUUUUGCAAAUUCCUCUAAAUUUUUGAUUAAAUUUAAGUUACAUAUAUCUACAUGAAUAAAAAAAAAUAUUAGAUUUGAUUUGGGUCAAAUAAAAAUUUAAUUGAAAUGGAAAGAGAAUAGAGAUUGCGUUCCUCAGUUCGGAUCGACACGAAUAUUUGCAAUUUACUCAUCUCCUAGCCUGUAUUUUGUGUACUUUUUGCCAUUAAAAGCCUAGUUUUUUCAUCUAUUCGUGACAAAAUUUGCUUAUCAAAUACUAAGUAAAUAAGAAAUUGUGGUACAUACCAAGCAAUUUAUAUCGUUGCUCAAAGAGGGAGGGACUGAAUCGAGAAUGGCACUAAAAGAUGUACCCGUAACUUCACAGCUACAUAAGCUGCAACGUUAACUGGGUCUUUCUUCUAAAUGAUACUUCAAAACUAUUAAACUAGUAAUUAGAGAACAUUUCAUACCAAAGUCGUGAUUUAACCAAAAUUUUAAGCUACUAUAGUAACAUUUUACAAAUGGACCCAUAACCUUACAGCUCUCUAUGAUCAAAAUUUUAAUCAACUUAUAUUCAACAUAGAUGAUAAACAGAAUCGUGUGGGAGUUUUAGUAAAACAUUUUAAGAAACCACGAAUCUAUUGUUUGUAAAGCGAUUUAUAAAUAGCAGGAGCUAUUAUAUUUGUUAAAAUACUGUAACAUUCUCUUCUAAAAUUCUUUUUUAGUAUAAGAGCAACCAUACUAUUGUCUCCCAUGUUUCCACUAAUAUUGUUGACUCAUUGGACCACAAUUUUCUAUUUUCAUGUAAGGCUCCAGUCUUUGAAGUUUGAACAACAACAAAAAUGUAAAUAAGACUCCCCUAUCUAAAACAAUGAUACUGUAUAUGCAUUCAAAGGUAAUGUCAGAGAGUUUGACAUUUCACCCAUCUAUAUACAAGACAUGCCUAUAAACUGAACACAUGAAAUUUAUUGCUCGCUCUUACUCAUAAAUGGGUAAACCACACCAAUGCAAAUCUGUCAAAAAGUAAAUGCAAACAACUAUAAAUAUACAAAUCUGUUCGACACUGUUCAAAAAAUCUACCUAUACACCAAUUAUUGGUCACUAGCUAGUCAAAUCUUCAAUAAAUUUAUUUAUAAAUUUAAUAAAAAAUUAAAAUUCAUGGAAAGAAAUAGUAAUAACUGCGAGUAUACUUGUCGAUUAUUACUUUUAUAUUAAAUUCAAAACGGGAAAAAUAGUAGAAAAGUAGUCGAAUAUAGCACCUUGUCGGUCUAAACAUUACAAAUAAUACAAACUUCAAACACACAAUAUUUCAUAAAAAUAUAUUGGAAAAAGAUAUUUUUCGAUCUUAUUUUCCUCAUUGCUUACUUGUUAUGGAUCAAACACGAAUAAAGCUCAUGGUAUCAUCAUUGAUCCAGUCAUACUUCUCAACGAACGGGUUAGGGAUCUUGGACAGUUCAGGAUAUCGAUCCAUGGAAUCUUCCCAAACAUUUUUACCAUCAAGAUUCUUAAGAACCUCCCAAACACAGUUGUUAGACUCGAACCCAGCUCCCAUGCACAUCAUUAGUAUCUUGUCACCUUUCUUUAACCUCUUCUUAGCUUCCAUAUAACCAAGAACAUACCACAAACCACCAGAGGAUGUAUUACCGAACCUAUGAAGCGCCAUUCUCGACGGCUCAAUAUCAAACUCCGUGAGCCCUAAGCUUGUUCCGACCCCUUCGAUAAUAGCUCUUCCUCCAGGGUGAAUACAAAAAUGCUGCAGCCCUGUCUUCAAGUCUAGACCUAUCCCCGAGCUCGUAGACUCUCUUUUUGUGGUGGUUCUUCGUUUAAUCGCACGUACUAUCGCGUAGCGGAUCAGUUCCUUGACUGGCAAGACUCUUGGCAGGAGGACUUGGAGGUUCUUGGUUAGGGCACGAGAAGCUGCUUUUUUAAGGUACUUCGUUAGGAGGAACCCUGGGUGGCCAUCUUUGUCCUCCAUCUGCAUGCAGCACGAGUAAGCCUCGUCUUCAGCCCCUACGUGGGCACGUGCCACAGUCACUAGCUUCAUCAGAGCCCUGUUCUUGAACCUAGCCGCGUUGGUU